rnacentral:tRNA from 1 species
GUCUGGGUAGCUCAGUUGGUUAGAGCUUUGUCCUGAUAUGCCAAGGUUGUGGGUUCAAUCCCCAUUCAGAGCA